UACGUAGGGUGCAAGCGUUGUCCGGAAUUACUGGGCGUAAAGGGCUCGUAGGCGGCCAACUAAGUCAGACGUGAAAUCCCCAGGCUCAACCUGGGAACUGCGUCUGAUACUGGAUGGCUUGAAUCCGGGAGAGGGAUGCAGAAUUCCAGGUGUAGCGGUGAAAUGCGUAGAUAUCUGGAGGAAUACCGGUGGUGAAGGCGGCAUCCUGGACCGGCAUUGACGCUGAGGAGCGAAAGCCAGGGGAGCAAACGGG
rnacentral:rRNA from 1 species